GACGAACGCUGGCGGCGUGCUUAACACAUGCAAGUCGAACGCUGAACCCGCUUCGGUGGGGGAUGAGUGGCGAACGGGUGAGUAACACGUGGGCAACCUGCCCCCGGCUCUGGGAUAACUCCAAGAAAUUGGGGCUAAUACCGGAUGUGACCGCUGGCCGCAUGGUCUGGUGGUGGGAAGGGUUUCCGGCUGGGGAUGGGCCCGCGGCCUAUCAGCUUGUUGGUGGGGUAGUGGCCUACCAAGGCGACGACGGGUAGCCGGCCUGAGAGGGUGACCGGCCACACUGGGACUGAGACACGGCCCAGACUCCUACGGGAGGCAGCAGUGCGGAAUAUUGCGCAAUGGGCGGAAGCCUGACGCAGCGACGCCGCGUGGGGGAUGACGGCCUUCGGGUUGUAAACCUCUUUCAGCAGGGACGAAGCGCAAGUGACGGUACCUGCAGAAGAAGCACCGGCCAACUACGUGC
rnacentral:rRNA from 1 species